rnacentral:rRNA from 1 species
UACAAAGGUCCCAAACGUUGUUCAAAUUCACUAAACGUAAAAAGUACAUAGGCGGUCGGGUAAGUCUAACGUAAAAUCUCCAAGCUCAACUUAAAAAUGGCGCCGGAUACUAUUCGGCUCGAGGAGUGGAGGGGAGACUGGAAUUCUCGGUGUAGCAGUGAAAUGCGUAGAUAUCGAGAGGAACACCAGUGGCGAAGGCGAGUCUCUGGACACUUCCUGACGCUGAGGCACGAAAGCCAGGGGAGCAAACGGG